rnacentral:rRNA from 1 species
UAUCUCUGUAGAGUCUGCAUAUCAAUAAGCGGAGGAAAAGAAACUAACAAGGAUUCCCUUAGUAACGGCGAGUGAAGCGGGAAGAGCUCAAAUUUGAAAUCUUCAAGGUUCUACCUUGACGAAUUGUAGUUUAAAGAAGUGUUUUCUGUUAGAUGAGUAGCAAAAGUUCCUUGGAAUGGGACAUCAUAGAGGGUGAGAAUCCCGUAUUUGGUUAUUCAUUCUAGCUUUGUGAUACACUUUCAAAGAGUCGGAUUGUUUGGGAAUGCAGUCCAAAAUGGGUGGUAAAUUUCAUCUAAAGCUAAAUAUUGGCGAGAGACCGAUAGCGAACAAGUACCGUGAGGGAAAGAUGAAAAGAACUUUGAAAAGAGAGUUAAACAGUACGUGAAAUUGUCAAAAGGGAAGCGUUUGACACCAGUGUUGUUUUUCCGAAAAUCAAUUACGAAUGGCUUGAUUUUGUGUUGUAUUGACCUUAUCAGCUUUCUGUCACUUUUUUCGAGUCUUUCUUAAUGCACUUUUCGGUUAACAAGUCAACAUCAAUUUCUUUUGUUGUAAAAGAGUAUUCGGAAGGUGGCUUUCUUUUCGGAGAAAGUGUUUAUAGCCCUAUACUUCUACAAUCGGAGAGAUUGAGGUCUGCAGCGUAGAUCCUUCGGGGUUAGAUACAUUUGUGCUAAGUUGUAGCUUUUCAUAGACAGCUUGUUGACUAUGUUCAGUCAUGCGGCUUACUCGCUUAUGCUAUUUUACCUACGCUUAGGAUGUUGACUGAUAUGUAGUCGUA